AAUCCAUUAUCAAGUCAUGUCAUUUCAAAUCCAAUUUUUCUCCCAUAUCCCUCUUUCUCUCUCCACGAUAUUUUCUGAGAAAAUUUUGCCCUCAAUUCUUUCUCUCUUUCCUACCUCUCUCUCCUGUGCUGCCAUUAGAGAAGCUGAGGUCAAGCUUUUUCUUUCCUCGGUAGACAUUAGAGGAAGUUCAAGUUUCGAAGCUCUAGUAUUGGACACAGUGUGUUCACCAAUUUCUCUCCAAUCUCUUUCCUCAGCACUAAACUCCCCAAGCCACUACAUAUCAGAACAAAUUCAUUGAGAAUUGGGACGAUAUUUGUACUUUGUUUGCUUCGGAUAGAGCAACUGGUGACGGAGCUGAGCAUCAUGAUGAGGCUGCUGCUGCAAUGGACACCGAAAUUGAAGGGAUUAGUACCUCCGAGACUUCUUCCAGAGGAUCAAACAAGAGGCUCAAGAGAGAUCGUCUAGCAGAUGCAGUGAGUUGUUUUGCAGAGUCGUUAGCAGAGCGCAAGGGCCACUAAACCAAGUUCACAAGAGAUCUACGAGGUAGUCUCGAGUGUACUUGGGAUUUCGCGUUACCAAGUCCUAAAAGCUGUGAAAAGGUUCAUGAAUGGGACGGUUGAUGAGUUCGAAAUGUUAAAAAACCUACCGGAAGGUGAAAAAUUAUAUUGGGUUUUAUUAUGUAUUAAUGAAGCAUUUUUAUUUAGAUGUUUGUGAACUAAAGCUACUAGCUAGAUGUUGAUAUGUUGUCUUUUUGUUGAGAGUUUGUUAGCAAAAUGUACCUUGGUUUGAAAUUUAGGAUUUGAACAUCCUUGUAUUUCCAAACAGCUAUUAGCAUUUGAUAUUCAAGAUUUGAAAUUUCUUGUCUUGCCAAA